rnacentral:tRNA from 1 species
GGCCGGAUGGUGAAGUGGCUUAACACAGCGGUUUGCAAAACCGCCAUUCGUCGGUUCAAAUCCGACUCCGGCCUCCA